CAGAGUAAGAGGAUACGCGUAAAGUGUCUGCCUGUACGGGGAGUUGACGGCGGAACGAAGUGAAGAUUCAUGCGGUGUAUCCUCUGCAUCCCGCUGU
rnacentral:ncRNA from 1 species